AAGAUACUAGUAAAGCAAUUACACUGCCUUGUCAAGGCAGAAUCGUGGGUGAGACCCCUGCGUAUCUUG
rnacentral:tRNA from 1 species